rnacentral:rRNA from 1 species
AAGAAACAAAGAGCGAACGGUGGAUGCCUUGGCUUCUAUAGGCGAUGAAGGACGUGGUAAGCUGCGAAAAGCCGCGGGGAUCGGCAAACACGAAUUGAUCCGCGGAUGUCCGAAUGGGGGAACCCACCAGGUUGAAGACCUGGUACUCUUAGGAGAGCUAACCCGGGGAACUGAAACAUCUUAGUACCCGGAGGAAGAGAAAGAAAGAUCGAUUCCCAAAGUAGUGGCGAGCGAAAUGGGAAGAGCCCAAACCGAUGAUGUUACGGCAUCAUCGGGGUUGUAGGACCACAAGACGAAACGGCAAGUAACGGGAAGUAUCUGGAAAGAUACACCACAGAGGGUGACAGCCCCGUACCGGUAAGAUUGUCGCGGAGUAGUGGUAUCCUGAGUAGGGCGGGACACGAAGAAUCCUGUCUGAAUUUGCGGGGACCAUCCCGUAAGGCUAAAUACUCAUAGAAGACCGAUAGAGGACAGUACCGUGAGGGAAAGGUGAAAAGAACCCCGAACAGGGGAGUGCAAUAGAACCUGAAACCGUUCGUUUACAAGCGGUCGGAGCGUCGCAAGGCGCGACGGCGUGCCUUUUGGAUAAUGAGCCUACGAGUUGUUUCUGUCCGGCGAGGUUAAGUGCUUAAGGCACGUAAGCCGAAGCGAGAGCGAGUCUGAACAGGGCGUUAAGUCGGACGGAACAGACGCGAAACCUAGUGAUCUACCCUUGGCCAGGAUGAAGGUGCCGUAACAGGCACUGGAGGUCCGAACCAGUUUCCGUUGAAAAGGAUUUGGAUGAGCUGAGGGUAGGGGUGAAAGGCUAAUCAAACUGGGAGAUAGCUCGUACUCCCCGAAAUGUCUUUAGGGACAGCCUCACGAUAGCUUGGCGGAGGUAAAGCUACUGAUAGGAUGCGAGGGCUUCAUCGCCUAUCAAAUCCUGACAAACUCAGAAUGCCGUCAAGUGUUUUGUGGGAGUGAGUCGCCGGGUGCUAAUGUCCGGUGGCAAAAGGGAAAGAGCCCAGACCAACAGUUAAGGCCCCUAAACGUGGUUUAAGUUGAGAGAACGGAGUGACAUCGCAGAGACAGCUAGGAUGUUAGCUUGGAAGCAGCUAUUCAUUUAAAGAGUGCGUAACAGCUCACUAGUCGAGCGGCGUUGCAUGGAUGAUAAACGGGCAUCAAGACCACUGCCGAAACUAUGGACUCGCAAGAGUGGUAGGGGAGCAUUCCAGUCGGCGCAGAAGGUGAACCGUGAGGUUUGCUGGAGCGGUUGGAAAAGAAGAUGUAGGCAUAAGUAACGAUAAUGCGGGCGGGAAACCCGCACACCGAAAACCCAAGGUUUCCUGAACAACGUUAAUCGGAUCAGGGUAAGUCGGGACCUAAGUCGAAGCCGACAGGCGCAGAUGAUGGACAAUCGGUUAAUAUUCCGAUACCUAACGUAUGAGAGACGGAGAGACGCAGGCGUGACACGCGCGCGUGCUGACGGAAUAGCACGUUGAAGGUCGUAGCUAGACGUUCUGGUUAAGAGCUGGAAUGUGGUGAUGGCCGACAGUACGGCAACCCUUCGGGGGAGCUGAUAGUCGCGGUAAGCAGACUGCCGAGAAAAUCUUCAGAUCAAUAAUCAUGCGUUAGCCCGUACCGUAAACCGACACAGGUGGGUGAGGAGAGAAUCCUCAGGUGCUCGAGUGAAUCAUGGCUAAGGAACUCGGCAAAUUGACCCCGUAACUUCGGGAUAAGGGGACCCUAGGAAUAGGGCGCAGAGAAAUGGCUCAGGCGACUGUUUACCAAAAACAUAUGGCUUUGCAAAUUCGAAAGAAUAGGUAUAAGGCCUGACACCUGCCCGGUGCUGGAAGGUUAAGAGGGGGUGUUAGCGGAAGCAAUGAAGUGAAGCACUGAAUCGAAGCCCCAGUAAACGGCGGCCGUAACUAUAACGGUCCUAAGGUAGCGAAAUUCCUUGUCGGGUAAGUUCCGACCUGCACGAAUGGUGUAACGAUCUGAGCACUGUCUCGGCCAUGAGCUCGGUGAAAUUGUAGUAACGGUGAAGAUGCCGUUUACCCGCAACGGGACGGAAAGACCCCGUGAACCUUUACUGCAGCUUAGCGUUGAUUUUGGAUAAUUGAUGUGUAGGAUAGGUGGGAGACUUCGAAGCGGAGACGCCAGUCUUCGUGGAGUCGACGUUGAAAUACCACCCUUUGGUUAUCUGGGAUCUAACCUGUUGAAGGGACAUCGCUUGGUGGGUAGUUUGACUGGGGUGGUCGCCUCCAAAAGAGUAACGGAGGCUUCCAAAGGUGCGCUCAGCACGAAUGGCAACCGUGCGCAGAGUAUAUUGGUAGAAGCGCGCUUGACUGAGAGACCGACAAGUCGACCAGGUAGGAAACUAGGGCAAAGUGAUCCGGUGGCACUGAAUGGGUUGGCCAUCGCUCAAAGGAUAAAAGGUACUCCGGGGAUAACAGGCUGAUCGCUCCCAAGAGCUCAAAUCGACGGAGCGGUUUGGCACCUCGAUGUCGGCUCGUCACAUCCUGGG